AUAGAUUAUCCAUUUUUUUUAUAUUUUUUGAAAUUGAAUAAAAUAAAUAAAAUUCUUGAUAGCUUUCCAUUUUUUAUGAAUAGAAUCAGGAGGUCUUUUUUUUUUUUUCUUAGUCAUUUAGAAUAGAACAAGUAAGAUACUGGAUGGGAAUUUUCAUCUCAGGAUUUAGAAUAUCUUGGUCUUGGUAUAUUCCUUUAUAUUAGGAUCCCAUCCCGGCGGAGAGGUUUCGGUUUCUCUUGAUUGAUUACAGAAAAAGAAGACUGCCCCCUGUGCUUCGCUAGGCCUAGGUAAGGUAUACGAAGGCCUAUUUAAUAACGAAACUUACCAAAGGUAUUCAUCUUUCAACAAGCUUUAAUUUGUACACAAGCGCAGG
rnacentral:lncRNA from 1 species